rnacentral:rRNA from 1 species
AUUGAACGCUGGCGGCAUGCUUUACACAUGCAAGUCGAACGGCAACGCGCCGCUAGGUCCUGCCGCGUGGGGCACGGGGGUGUAAUACACCUGAAAAUGCCCCGACUUGGGGGGUAUCUCCCCGCAAGAGUAGCUAAUAUCCCACACGAUCUCUGGGGGAGAACGGGGGAGCGUGAAAGCCCGCGCGAUUGGAGCGGGCGAUGUCGGAUUAGGUAGUUGGUGGGGUAAAGGCUUACCAAGGCGACGAUCUGUAGCUGGUCUGAGAGGACGACCAGCCACACUGGGACUGAGACACGGCCCAGACUCCUACGGGAGGCAGCAGUGGGGAAUUUUGGACAAUGGGGGCAAGCCUGAUCCAGCAAUGCCGCGUGCGGGAAGAAGGCCUUCGGGUUGUAAACUGCUUUUGUUCGGGAAGAAACGCUUUUGGUUAAUACCCGGGGGGAAUGACGGUACCGGAAGAAUAAGCACCGGCUAACUACGUG